rnacentral:tRNA from 1 species
GGCUCCGUAGUAUAAUGGAUAAUACAGUCGCCUCCUAAGCGAUAGAUACAGGUUCGAUUCCUGUCGGGGCUACCA